AGAGUUUGAUCCUGGCUCAGGACGAACGCUGGCGGCGUGCUUAACACAUGCAAGUCGAACGGUGAUGUCAGAGCUUGCUCUGGCGGAUCAGUGGCGAACGGGUGAGUAACACGUGAGUAACCUGCCCCCGACUCUGGGAUAACUGCUAGAAAUGGUAGCUAAUACCGGAUAUGACGAUUGGCCGCAUGGUCUGGUCGUGGAAAGAAUUUCGGUUGGGGAUGGACUCGCGGCCUAUCAGGUUGUUGGUGAGGUAAUGGCUCACCAAGCCUACGACGGGUAGCCGGCCUGAGAGGGUGACCGGCCACACUGGGACUGAGACACGGCCCAGACUCCUACGGGAGGCAGCAGUGGGGAAUAUUGCACAAUGGGCGAAAGCCUGAUGCAGCAACGCCGCGUGAGGGAUGACGGCCUUCGGGUUGUAAACCUCUUUUAGUAGGGAAGAAGCGAAAGUGACGGUACCUGCAGAAAAAGCACCGGCUAACUACGUGCCAGCAGCCGCGGUAAUACGUAGGGUGCAAGCGUUGUCCGGAAUUAUUGGGCGUAAAGAGCUCGUAGGCGGUUUGUCGCGUCUGCUGUGAAAUCCCGAGGCUCAACCUCGGGUCUGCAGUGGGUACGGGCAGACUAGAGUGCGGUAGGGGAGAUUGGAAUUCCUGGUGUAGCGGUGGAAUGCGCAGAUAUCAGGAGGAACACCGAUGGCGAAGGCAGAUCUCUGGGCCGUAACUGACGCUGAGGAGCGAAAGCAUGGGGAGCGAACAGGAUUAGAUACCCUGGUAGUCCAUGCCGUAAACGUUGGGAACUAGAUGUGGGGACCAUUCCACGGUCUCCGUGUCGCAGCUAACGCAUUAAGUUCCCCGCCUGGGGAGUACGGCCGCAAGGCUAAAACUCAAAGGAAUUGACGGGGGCCCGCACAAGCGGCGGAGCAUGCGGAUUAAUUCGAUGCAACGCGAAGAACCUUACCAAGGCUUGACAUAUACCGGAAACAUGCAGAAAUGUGUGCCCCGCAAGGUCGGUAUACAGGUGGUGCAUGGUUGUCGUCAGCUCGUGUCGUGAGAUGUUGGGUUAAGUCCCGCAACGAGCGCAACCCUCGUUCUAUGUUGCCAGCACGUAAUGGUGGGAACUCAUAGGAGACUGCCGGGGUCAACUCGGAGGAAGGUGGGGAUGACGUCAAAUCAUCAUGCCCCUUAUGUCUUGGGCUUCACGCAUGCUACAAUGGCCGGUACAAAGGGCUGCGAUACCGUAAGGUGGAGCGAAUCCCAAAAAGCCGGUCUCAGUUCGGAUUGAGGUCUGCAACUCGACCUCAUGAAGUCGGAGUCGCUAGUAAUCGCAGAUCAGCAACGCUGCGGUGAAUACGUUCCCGGGCCUUGUACACACCGCCCGUCAAGUCAUGAAAGUCGGUAACACCCGAAGCCAGUGGCCUAACCGCAAGGGAGGAGCUGUCGAAGGUGGGAUCGGUGAUUAGGACUAAGUCGUAACAAGGUAGCCGUACCGGAAGGUGCGGCUG
rnacentral:rRNA from 1 species